UACGGAGGAUGCGAGCGUUAUCCGGAUUUAUUGGGUUUAAAGGGUGCGUAGGCGGGAUGCCAAGUCAGCGGUAAAAAUGCGGUGCUCAACGCCGUCGAGCCGUUGAAACUGGCGUUCUUGAGUGGGCGAGAAGUAUGCGGAAUGCGUGGUGUAGCGGUGAAAUGCAUAGAUAUCACGCAGAACUCCGACUGCGAAGGCAGCAUACCGGCGCCCUACUGACGCUGAGGCACGAAAGCGUGGGUAUCGAACAGG
rnacentral:rRNA from 1 species